UUCUGGCUCAGGAUGAACGCUAGCGGCAGGCUUAACACAUGCAAGUCGAGGGGCAUCGGGAGUAGCAAUACCUGCCGGCGACCGGCGCAAGGGUGCGUAACGCGUGAGCAACAUGCCCGUAUCAGGGGGAUAAUCCAUGGAAACGUGGUCUAAUACCCCAUAGUAAUUAUGUAAGGCAUCUUAUAUAAUUUAAAGCUUUGGUGGAUACGGAUUGGCUCGCGUGACAUUAGCUGGAUGGUAAGGUAACGGCUUACCAUGGCUACGAUGUCUAGGGGUUCUGAGAGGAAGGUCCCCCCACACUGGAACUGAGACACGGUCCAGACUCCUACGGGAGGCAGCAGUGAGGAAUAUUGGACAAUGGAUGGAAAUCUGAUCCAGCCAUGCCGCGUGCAGGAAAGACGGCCCUAUGGGUUGUAAACUGCUUUUGUAUGGGAGCAAUAAGGGCUACGUGUAGUCCGAUGAGAGUACCAUACGAAUAAGCACCGGCUAACUCCGUGCCAGCCGCUGC
rnacentral:rRNA from 1 species